rnacentral:rRNA from 1 species
GCCCACAAGCUAGCUCACCCCCUAAAACACAACAUAACCCUAUUAAUAACCCCAGAUAGCCCCCCCCAUAAAACUAAACCAUUUUACCACCCAAGUAUGGGCGACAGAAAAG